AAGUACUUAAGUUAAAUAAACUAAUAACCUUCAAAGUUAGAAAUAAAUUAUAUUUAGGACUUA
rnacentral:tRNA from 1 species